rnacentral:tRNA from 1 species
GCCGAAGUGGCGGAACUGGUAGACGCGCUAGGUUCAGGGUCUAGUUUUCGUACGAAAGUGGGAGUUCGAGUCUCCCCUUCGGCACCA